UACGGAGGGGGCUAGCGUUGUUCGGAAUUACUGGGCGUAAAGCGUACGUAGGCGGCUUUGCAAGUCAGAGGUGAAAGCCCGGGGCUCAACCCCGGAAUUGCCUUUGAGACUGCAUCGCUAGAAUUGUGGAGAGGUAAGUGGAAUUCCGAGUGUAGAGGUGAAAUUCGUAGAUAUUCGGAAGAACACCAGUGGCGAAGGCGACUUACUGGACACAUAUUGACGCUGAGGUGCGAAAGCGUGGGGAGCAAACAGG
rnacentral:rRNA from 1 species